AGUGAACGCUGGCGGUAGGCCUAACACAUGCAAGUCGAACGGCAGCACAGUAAGAGCUUGCUCUUACGGGUGGCGAGUGGCGGACGGGUGAGGAAUACAUCGGAAUCUACUUUUUCGUGGGGGAUAACGUAGGGAAACUUACGCUAAUACCGCAUACGACCUACGGGUGAAAGCAGGGGAUCUUCGGACCUUGCGCGAAUGAAUGAGCCGAUGUCGGAUUAGCUAGUUGGCGGGGUAAAUGCCCACCAAGGCGGCGAUCCGUAGCUGGUCUGAGAGGAUGAUCAGCGACACUGGAACUGAGACACGGUCCAGAGUCCUACGGGAGGCAGCAGUGGGGAAUAUUGGACAAUGGGCGGAAGCAUGAUCCAGCCAGACCGCGUGGGUGAAGAAGGCGUUCGGGUUGUAAAGCCCUUUUGUUGGGAAAGAAAAGCAGCAGGUUAAUACCCCGCUGUUCUGACGGUACCCAAAGAAGAAGCACCGGCUAACUUCGUG
rnacentral:rRNA from 1 species